rnacentral:misc_RNA from 1 species
AACGCAACUUGCGCUUCUCGGGUACCUCCGAGGAGCAUGCCUGUUUGAGUGUUACGAAAAGGACCGUUGGAGGCUUGCCGAGGCGGGGGGGGGAGGGUUCCUCUCCCCUCUUGGGCUCCUCUCAAAUGCAUUAGCUGGGAACGAUGAUCCCCGGCCAACUCGAAAGUGUUUUUGGCUCGGAUCAUCAACUCCUCCCGCUUCGAAUCAAUAAUCAAUUGAGGAAGGCCUCAAAUCAGGCAAGACUACCCGCUGAACUUAA